UGCUUAAAUUCGUUCAUGCAAUCGGUCUAAAUAGGUAACGAUCGAACAAAUCUCCUCGCUCUAAAGUGAUGCAGAUGGACAUCUCAGAUUAGAAGGAAGAAAGGUAUUUAAACAUCUCUUUAGUCGGCCCCAAACCCUAGCUAACACCCAGUUGGAGAAGAAGAAGAAGGAAGUGGCAAGAGAGAAGACUAGCCGCUGGAGGGACACCGCUGCCGU
rnacentral:lncRNA from 1 species